UACAGAGGUCCCAAGCGUUGUUCGGAUUCACUGGGCGUAAAGGGUGCGUAGGUGGUGAGGUAAGUCGGAUGUGAAAUCUCCGAGCUCAACUCGGAAAUGGCAUUGGAAACUACCUUGCUUGAGGGUUGGAGGGGGGACUGGAAUACUUGGUGUAGCAGUGAAAUGCGUAGAUAUCAAGUGGAACACCAGUGGCGAAGGCGAGUCCCUGGACAACUCCUGACACUGAGGCACGAAAGCUAGGGGAGCAAACAGG
rnacentral:rRNA from 1 species